rnacentral:rRNA from 1 species
AUUGAACGCUGGCGGCAGGCUUAACACAUGCAAGUCGAGCGAGCGGCGGACGGGUGAGUAAUGUCUGGGAAACUGCCUGAUGGAGGGGGAUAACUACUGGAAACGGUUGCUAAUACCGCAUACCAUCAGAUGUGCCCAGAUGGGAUUAGCUAGUAGGUGGGGUAAUGGCUCACCUAGGCGACGAUCCCUAGCUGGUCUGCGAGGAUGACAAGCACAACUGGAACUGAGACACGGCCCAGACUCCUACGGGAGGCAGAAGUGGGGAAUAUUGGACAAUGGGGGAAAGCCGGAUGCAGCCAUGCCGCGUGUGUGAAGAAGGCCUUGGGGUUGUAAAGCACGUUCAGCGAGGAGGCGUUACUCGCAGAAGAAGCACCGGCUAACUCCGUGCCAGCAGCCGCGGUAAUUC